rnacentral:rRNA from 1 species
UACGUAGGGGGCUAGCGUUGUCCGGAAUCAUUGGGCGUAAAGCGCGUGUAGGCGGCCCGGUAAGUCCGCUGUGAAAGUCGGGGGCUCAACCCUCGGAUGCCGGUGGAGUACUGUCGGGCCUCGAGUACGGAAGAGGCGAGUGGAAUUCCUGGUGUAGCGGUGAAAUGCGCAGAUAUCAGGAGGACACCGAUGGCGAAGGCAGGAUCUCUGGCCGCAACUGCGCUGAGGAGCGAAAGCAUGGGGAGCGAACAGG